rnacentral:rRNA from 1 species
AUUGAACGCUGGCGGCAGGCCUAACACAUGCAAGUCGAACGAGUGGCGGACGGGUGAGUAAUGUCUGGGAAACUGCCUGAUGGAGGGGGAUAACUACUGGAAACGGUAGCUAAUACCGCAUACCAUCAGAUGUGCCCAGAGUGGAUGUGCUUGUUGGUGGGGUAACGGCUCACCAAGGCGACGAGCCCUAGCUGGUCUGCGAGGAUGACCAGCCACACUGGUACUGCGACACGGUCCAGACUCCUACGGGAGGCAGCAGUGGGGAAUAGUGCAAAAUGGGCGCAAGCCGGAUGCAGCCAUGCCGCGUGUAUGAAGAAGGCCUUCGGGUUGUAAAGUACUUUCAGCGGGGAGGCGUUACCCGCAGAAGAAGCACCGGCUAACUCCGUGCCAGCAGCCGCGGUAAUUC